AAAAAUUCUCCCUAAUGCUUCCUUCUGGGUUCACUAAUGUUUACAAACAUGUAGUCUUGUGAACAGCCUUGCCUGGGCAGUCGUGAACAGCGACCCUCCUUAAUGCAAAGCACUGGGAAAGGAGAGUAUAUUAUUUCAGCUGGGAGAGGAGCAGAGCCCUGGGAUGAGACUGAUUGAUUCAGACCAGAUGGGUGGCCACACAUAGGUGUGACAAAAAUAGAAACACAUUGCAGACAUUCCAGGCACUGUCCUCCUCCCAUGGCCAGGAGGUGGGUCGCCUGCACUGCCCCGUUAUCUACCUCCUAAUGUGCUCGCCAAUCAAAGAAUGUUAAUGAUGUUAGCUUUUCCCCUUCAUGUUAGCAGCCUGGUCACAUGGCAUCAGAGCUGAAGUAACAUUUAAAAUGUAAAGUGACCACAGUCCAGGUUUGCCUAUAAGUAAAGCCAAAGCAGAGAAUUUCAUCUAGUGCCUAAAUAUGUUAUUAUUUUAAUUUCUUCUUUCACAUGAAAACUAGCAUGCCAGAAACUUACUCUGACUGUGACUUCCCAGGGAAGAAGAGCAUAUUUACAAAUGACACCAGUGUUGUAAUUAGAGAUUCGAAUUUGAUUCAUCGGGCAUGAAAGAGUACUGCAUAAUAACUGAGGAUCCUAACCCUGUUGCCGGCACUUAACUGUAAGUUUCCUGAGACUGAGGACUGUAUUAGACAAAGGCAGGGCCUUAGGUUAGACAGCUUUAUCCACCCAUUACUUUUGAGUCAACAGUCAUCACUUUGCAGUUGAUGCUUAAGAUUUUUCUGGGACUAUUUCAGUUCUUAUUUCAAUAAAUUAGGGAAUUUUGAGUUUAUAAACUAAGGUAAGGGUUUGUUAUCUUGACAACAUUAGGAAAAAGAAACACAUCCCUCUUAUUUAUUACAAGAAGGACUUUCUUACUCAAUGAGCGCAAAGGAAAUUCGACAAGCAUGGGAAAUUUUCUAUCAUUCAAAACCGAAGUGUAGAAAUUAUGCACACAUUUGAAUAUUUAUCAAAACUAAAGGAAACUCCCAAAGCUUUUGGUAAAAUAAUAUAAAACCUAGAGAAAGGGUGAGCAUUCAAAAGCAGCCCGUGGCAUUUAAACAAGUAUGGAGAGGCUUUGUCAUAGUAAGAAGAAGGUUUUCUCACCCUCUACCUCAAAUGUCCUGCCCUGUUUUGUCCCAGCAUGGAGUUGGAGUUUAUGUGUUCUCACAGAGGACUGAAACUAUUACCUACUUGUUAUAAAUCUUCUCAGAUUUCACUGCUGUGGGCGAGUCUGUAGGUUCUGAUUGACAUCCCUGGCUGUCUCUCACACUCACUAUGAAAUUCACAUGUGCCUACCACCUGAAAGGCAAAGCGGACCAGUCUUUUCACUUUAGCUUCUGUUUGCAACUAAAAAAAAGUACUUCUGCAGAUAUAAUUUUGACCCAUUUCUAUAAGGAAGGAAUUCUUUUUUCGUUUAAAAGCUUUACAUAUGGGUCAUUUUUCUUUCCACAAAUUGCUGGCCCUCUGCUGUCAGGCACCCAUGUAGAUGUAGAUUCUAUGGGAGACUUUUCUCCUAAAAGUCUUUGGUCAUCUUUUGUGUCAUAACAAUUCCCAGAAGCAAUAUACUAGUGAUAGACAGCUCUUGAACUUACUCUGCCAGUAGGCUGCCUCCUUAAAAAAAAAUUAUUCCUGUGCAGGUGGAGAUUAGCAUAUGAAAAAUGCUUUUAAUUUUGUCCACUCUUGGACUUACCUAUCUGUCAAACCCAUACAUCUGACAAGCAGUUGGGUUCAACUUAUCUCUACUUUACCACCUUAAUAGCAGGUCUUAAAUAGUCCAUGGGCUGUUAGUUAUUUGUGAGCUGAGUUCAUUUAACACCCUUUUUCAGAACAAACCCAAUAAAAUACAAAGACACCAAACUGCCAGUUCAGUUUCUGAAUAUUAGAAAUAAAAAUGAUAGUGUCCAUGAAUCUGUGAAAAUGUCUUCCUUUAGACAUAAGGAAAUAAAAUAGCCAGGGCAAACUGCCUCUUGACAGCUAGUUCAUGAGAUCCCUGUGGCUCUUUCAAUGUGGAACUUAGUUUACAUAUUGUUCCUCUAUAGUAAUAUUUUAUAUUGGUUAUUUUUUCUACUGCUUAUCUUUUUUCUCUCAAAAUCUAACCUGCCUAAAUUUGCAGUUCUCAUUUGCGCCAUUUGAUUUGUGCAAAUGACAGCUCCGAUGGCUUCCCAGCCGUUGAACUAAGUGAAAUGAGGUGCCCCAUGUUGGCGUGGCUGUGGAUCUAUUAUGGCUUCAUGCCUCACUAAAUGACAAGACUCCCACAGGGCAGUACCUAUCGUGAAGCAGGCCUCGAGGGGUUAACGUGGGCUGAAUCUCAAAAUAGACUUGUAGCUUAGCACACCUACUCACUUAUAAAGAAUUAGCAGUAAUUAUGUGCAUGCAAAUUCUAAUUCUAUGAAAGGACCCUUCAGUUACAGAGGAAAAGUAGAAUGCUCUUUCUCACCAUUCAGACUAGAAGAAGAUCAAGAACGCUGGGCACCUUGCGCUCUUCAAAGGGAUAGAGCGAGGGUAGCACCUGAAACAACUUUUCCCUACCACCUACAGCCCUGAGACUGGGACAGGAAGAAAGUUCUCAUACGAAAAUAAACUAGCUCAGUCUUCCUUCAAUUAGCUUACUUCUCUAUAUUUUACUUGUUUUAUUGUUCUACUAAGUUCCUGGGUAUUCAGUGGUCACAGCUCAAACAGUGCUCCCAAAAUGAUUUCUUUCAUAUACUGAAAAUCGAAAGUUUUCACGAUGUUAAUGAGAUGUCUUUGAGUGGGCAGACAUCAGCGGGUUCAGGAUUUCAUAUAUUGCCUACUCACUUCCCACUGCCUUUACAAAAUCAAAAUUCUCCUCCUUGGGACAGCAAGAGGUGAGUGGACAACAGCCAAAUGUAACUUUCAAACUUAAUCUACUCCGGCCAUUUAAAAACAUUCACAGGGGCAAUGAGGCAAAAUUUAUAUAUUAUCUACUAUCAUGGGUAAAUAUUGGUCUUCAUAAUAAACUGUCUGGUAGAUGUAGGAAACCUGUUCACUCUCCUAUUGAUGUUUUACUGGCCGUAAGAGCUAAAGCCCUAUUCUAUUUUAAAUUCAACUCUAUGAAAAUGGGCAGUACCCAAGCAAAUGCUAGCACAAUUCCAGAUAAAAUAUACUGUUGUGAGGCUGAAAAGUGCAUGCAAAGCAAGCUGCAUUAUUAGAAUGUUUAAAUAUUAAUUAUACCGCUGUGUAGUAAAGAUGAUCAAGUAUUAGUGUCAACUAAUUUUCUAAAAGCUGCAACAUUUACUUUCAUCUAAACUUCCUUUGUUAAACUAAAACUAAAAGCCCAGCAAGUUUAGUCUACUUGAGUGUGUUUAUUUUUAUUGGUUUCUGCAUAAUUUUUUUCUACCAUAAACCAACUUUAACCCCUUUUCUGUAAUCUCUGCCAGUAUAAGUCCAAUAACACAUCAUAAAAUUCCUAUAAUUCUUCAAAGCCACGGAGUUGGAAAGGAAAGGCUUGGGCAUUUUGUAACAGACGCCGGCUACAAGCUUCAGCCAAUUUAUAUUUAACUCUUACAAACCUUCUCUUUUGUGCGUGUGGAUACACUUACAGAUUUAUGCACAUGGUCACUUUUAUUUCCAUUGUAAGCUUUCUUCAGUUGCUUUUGAGUUUGAAGCCAGUUCCAUUUUGUGAAGAAUAUUAUGGCGAGGUAGAACCUAGCUCUAAUCACGGAGGAGUCUAGGCUGACAGAUGGGGAGGCAGAUGCACAGAGCCACGUAAACUCACAGAGACUUCUUACCUUAUGCAGAAGCCUUUGCUGAUGGAGAUGACGUGGUCUGAAAAGUGGACAUUUACAUGAAUUCUGGUGAUGGAGGAGUUAAGCAGAUCACCCCACUUUCCCCCUCAUUUCUUUUCCUAAUCUACUGCUCUCUUAGAUUCUCAAACAGCUACUAGAAUCAGGCAGGAGAAUCACUUUGAGAUUCUUAAGAAGAGACAAAGGAAGAGCAUGUGUGUGUGGAGAGACGCUCGGGUUUCAUCCCGUCACCCAUGGAUGCCCAGCCAGGGUUUCCCACCUGAGACAGAUUGCGACGCAUGUUCGGCUCACUCAUGCACAAGAAGCAAUACACAAGUUCAGUGUAAAGCCACUUUAAAAGCUCAUCGGGUGCAUACUUUACUUGUACAAAAUACCUUAUUCAUGAUGGAGCACUGAGGGCCUAGGUAAUUACUUGAAUCAAGGUAGCCUCAGAAGUGUUUAAAUCUACAAGGACACUUAGAGCAUGAAUAAUGCAAAAUAAUUUGCAUCUAAAUUUUUUAAGUGUUCUUUAUUCAAAAACUAAAAUGCAGUUCCGAUUAAAGUUUGAUGAGUGAAAGCUGAGCACUUCGUACCCACUGUGAAACAUCUCCUAUAUGUGGAAAUCAUUUCAGACAGUGGUGAAAGGACAAAAGAAUUUCUGUUUUGUUUUGUUUUUAAUUUAACUUGUGAUUAAGUAGCACCUCGUUUAAGCCUAACUUUCUUUAGAUUUUGUGGUGGCUACUGGGUGAUUGUAUCAUCAGAUACAAGCCCAAAUUUCAGUCCAGCCCUUUAGGAAACACAAUGAAACACUUACUUUCUUAGACCCAAUAAUCUGCCAAACCAAAUAACAUUUGCAUUCAAAGCUAAUGCAAUGCAACUUGCUUUCUUCUUUCACCUAAAAUAUUUUAUUAAAAUUAUUCUUCUUUUGCAGUCACUAGACACAAACUAUCUCUGUUCUUACAAAAGCUUAGAAUACCCUGUUUUGUUUCCUUGUUAUUAGACUUAUACUGCUGUGUGAAUAUACAUUACUUAAAAUGUUACUGGUGAAUUUUCAGUGAAAAGCUGAGUAGUGUCAAUAUGUUAACCCAUACUUUUUAAGGGAAACAAGAUUGCAAAGCUGAAAAUCAAUUAAGAAGCCAAAGGCAACUUUAUUACAAUAACAUACCAAAAUGUUUAUUACCUUAAAAUAGCUUUUCUUCAUCUUAAUUUGUGAAGUUGAACAUUUUGAAGAUUAUUUCAAAGGAGUACUAUAGUAAGACUGAAUUACACCAUUUCCAGUUGAGAAAUAUUUUUGUCAGGGGUUUAAAAAAGGAAAGCAAAUCAUAACUUAAAAAUCAUUUUUGCUUUUAUUUUACUAAAUUUCCAAAAUCUAUUGUCACUUGGGCUGUAUAACCUGUCCCAUAAUUUCACAAUAUCUGCAUUUCAUUUACUUUUGUGAAUAUCUGAAAAGCCACAAUUCAGAAACUGCCAUUGUUUUCUGGAUUCCUUUGCUGUGUGUAGGGAACUCUUCUGGCCCCUCUUUUCUACCUGAGAUGAAAGUAAAGUUCAAUUAGGAAAUAGGCCUUUCUUGUCUAGUUCACAGGCAUCUUUCAUGGCUGUGUGGAGGUGGACAGUUGUAAUGCACAUAGAAAAGCGGGUGGAAGCCCUACCAGGCUAGCGGUGGAGCUGACCUUCCAAGUGAAUUUUCAAGGCACUUAAACAUCUCUGAGAUGAAGAUCUUGAAAGGGAGUCAGGGAUUAUGGAGGGAAAAAGAAGAAAGAAGACAAAAGAAGAGGAAAGGAGAGGAAAAGGGAAAAACAGAUUAGAUUAAAUUCAGUAGUGAAGAUAAUUGCAUUAAGUUCUUACGGAAUUUUUUUCGAGGGAGGGCAUUUAUGGCAGAGGGAUUGUCUACCCACCCUCAGAUAAACUAAUCCUCAGUGUGGCUCUAUUUCCUGUGUCUCUGAGGUUACAGAGCCCACUCUUGAGGGGUGAACCCUGCCCAUGGCCUGGGCACAUGGUCCAGGGUGAGACUGGAAGGAUGGAGAACUAAUUUUCUCCUUUCCUGUGUCUGUCACGAUUUUAACGCCAUUUUUUCAGUUACAUGGAAGUUGUACUGCCAACCCAAUUAGAGAAGGAGACCAGAAAUAGUUGGGGAAAAGUUGCUUCUAAAUUCUAGAGCCCCAUGUAGUACACUUUUAGUUCGUUUAGAGCAAGAAAGUAUUUGAAUCCAGGCAAAUGAAUGCAUAGAAUCAAGGUAAAGAAUUGUUGAGGGAUCUACCCAUUGUGAUAAAAUAUCAAAAAGGCCUUUGAUAUGAAAAAUCUGCAUAUCAUACUGAAAAUUCAAAAGGUCUUCAGUAUAGGCAAUGUAAAUUAAUGUCUAGAAUAUGGUUUGCCAUCCAUGUUUGGACAUAAUUCCCAUUUUCUAUGACCUAAGAAGUUACUGAAAUAACAGUUUCAAAACUGAUCAUGAACUCUAGCCCCAGUGAUCUCUAGCCCCAAUGACAUCUAGCCUCAAUGACAAUCUAGCCCCAUGGUCGCACUAGCUGCAGGGCUGGUAUCCUUUGGAGGUAGAGAAUCAGCAGAGUUACCUCACCUGCUGGGAAACUUUAAAAAGUAAAAUGUUGCUGAUUCUUGCAAAGCCCUAUUCCAAGUGACUUGACUAUAACAGUCUAAUAACUGUUACAUGAAUGUGUGCAUUAGGUAGGUACCCAGCUAUGGAAAAGAGAAACCAAUACACAUAUGCUUCAAUGAAUGAUGUAAAUACAAUGCCUCUUUCCCACCUUCAAUGCAUUUAGCUCCAUAACUUCAAUCCAUUGUUUCCUCCUUCCCCCGUCUCCCACUUUCUCCUUGUUCACCCGCUCUUAAGGUGCAGACCUUAGCCUCCUUCUGCCACCUUGGGGUCUCAGUCCCCUUCCAAAAUCGCUUAAAGGUUUUUUUCUCUCUCUCUCUUUUUUUAGUUGGUUCCUUCAAUUACGGCUUCCUUCGCUGCAUUGCUGCAGUUUACUGUGGUCCCAGACAUAUCUUUCCUGACUCAUUUCAUUUUCCACCUUUCCUUGCUGUGAGUUCUCAUCUCAUUCUACUUUCCACCCAUGCCUUCUUGUGCUUUUAAUAUCUUUUCUCUUCCUACCUCUUGAAAUCCAAAGAUUUCCUCCACUAAAUUUCUAUUCUUUUCUUCUAACCAUGUUAAUUUCCUUUCUUGUAAUCCAAACUUGCUUACCCUGUCUUCACAGUUCUGUGAUUAAAAUUUAUUUUCCUUUCAACUUCUGAAUUCCUAAAAACAUCCCUUUCUUUGCUUGCAUAUUUACUGCCUUCCCCACUCCUCAAGUCGGCUCAGAUUUCUGGCCUAAAGGUUUUUCUUCUACACUUCCUAAAUGUUGCUUCCUCUGUAGUAUUUCCCAUUUCUCUCCUACCUCUGUCCUAGAAGGUUUCACUUCUUAAAUUACUAUGCAGUCUCCUUAUCUUUUAUGUCCCUGUAUAUUUCUUAUCAUCUCUCUAUAAUCUCAUUUUUCAAUAGUUUCUUUACAGUUAAACCCCCUUUAUUUUUCCAUAAACUUCAACCUGCCUCAUUUAUUUUGGGGGUCUCCCUUCUCCAUUUCUCUAUAUCAUUAUUUCAUAAUGAAACUCUGAUCUUAAAUGAUUCCCCACACUCUCCAUUAAUUAUGUUUUCAUACAUGUAUUAGUUUCCCUUAAUAAAAAUGCAGUGUGCACUUAAGAAUAGCUACCAAAAAAAGAUUCCUAACUUAGGAAUUCAGCUUAGAAAACAUUGAGACAAUUCUGCUUAUUCAUGAGAGAGGGGGAAAGAAAGUCAUUGUUUAGGUAAGAUUAUCUGUCUAUCCAUCAUCCAUCUAUCCAUCCAUCCAAGUAUCUUCUAAGAACUUAGAAAUACAGCUACACCAGGACAGCACUGAAUGUGAAGCCAGAAGCUAGAAGCUGUAGGGUUGAAUCCUGACUCUUUCACAUCUUAAAUAAGUGGUAGGCCAAGUUUCCAACAGCCAUCUAACUUUUCUGAGUCUCAGGAUCCUCCUCUGUGUUACAUACCUUCUUUGUCUCCCUCUUAGAAUUAUUGCAAAGAUGAAGUGAGGUAAUUGACAAUAGUUAACACUGUAUAACCAUUAGUUACAAAUAUUCUUUGUUCAAAGUGGAUAUGCCUGGAAAUGGGGUUUAUAUACCCAUGACUUUCUAAAUCAAUGAUAUUUCCUUACUUUUGAAGAAGACCAAAUAGUUCCUGGACCAACAUAAUUUGCUUGCAAAUAUCUGAGCAGAAAAAAAAUCAUGGACUUAAUAUUCAAAUAGAAGAUUGGAGAUGUUAGUUUACUGGGAGAUGUAAAAAAAAUGCUGUUACCUGAAGGGGCCUAUAUUAUUUGCUUUGGGUUUUAAAUACAUUUUUGGGUAAUUUAUAAAAUCCUUACAUUGUUUGGUUAAUAGACAAUAAUUAGAGGCCAAACCUUUCCUGUAGCUAUCUUAAAAGCCACCUUUUCUGAGCUAUUCCUGCCUCCCAUCAUCAGAUUUCAAAGUAAGUGUUUGUUCCAAAUGGGGCUGACUUAUUUGACCUAAAAUAGUACCAACUUUUAUUUGUGGCUUAUUGCAUAGACAAAUACCUUGGCAUUCUGCUGUGGAUGUAGAAACCAAUAGGGAUUCAGUGUAUUUUGUAUAGUAAGAAAAAUCAGGCUUAGAAUUAUGGAACUAGAGCUGGACAGAGCCUUGGAGAUGAUUAGGGUCACACAUGCAAAAGCCUAUGCGGGGCGGGGAGGGAUGUCAGCCGAUCCUUCUAAUGGGGAUGCAGAUCAGUCAGUCCCUCAUAGCCUUUCCUUGCAGCCAUGUGGGCCAGUUUCCUUGCAACUCCUCUGAGUUCUCCAGAGGAGCUGGAAAUCUGGAUUUUGAGUGAAAUUGCCCAAUUUAAAAAUUUUGGCAACCAAUUCAAAUGUGUUUAAAAUAUUUCCUGAGCCAAACCAAACACAUCUGUCAGCCACCAGUUUGUAACCUCUGUGCAAUCCCUACAUCUUACAACUGGGGACAUGAAGCCCAGAGAGGUUAAGUGAUGUGGCCGUGGCCAUGCCGAAACUGGAUGGCAGGGCUGGGAGGGCCAGAAGUCCAAGUUUCUUGAGCCAAGUCCUGGACUCUUCUCAUCAUCCGGGGUUGUGAUCCCAGAACCCCACACAUCAAUCGGCCUGCUGGAAAGGAAACCAGUAGAAGACAUGUGGCCUGCUCACCAAUAGCUUCUUUUGUGCUUUCCCACCCAAACUCUUUCUGAUUGCCAAUGCUACUGCUGGCGAAGGUGGAUGCGUGGGCCAGGAGCACAGGCCAUCUAAUUCCUUCCUGGCUACUUUCCUGUCACUUCCUCCCCAGACUUUCUGUGACUGACUGGUCUUUCUUAUACCCUCUCUCCUGUGCCAAGACAGGCUUACCUUUGGAAUGGGGCUGGAGUGGGAACACACUUAAUGCCAGGCUAAUGUCAAUACCAGGUGACAUAUUUUCUGAGCUCUCUGCCCUGUCUGUACAGGAAUUAUGAAAACACCACACCUAAAAAGCAACUGCUCAAUCUUUCUAAAAAAGACCCACAGAAGCAGUAAAACCAGAGGCUUGAGUUCAGAACAUGCAGCUCCAUAGUCCAAGAACUCACUACAGGGGCACAAUCAAUUUUCUGAUUCUAGCUCAAUUCACUCCUGGCAUAUA